GUAGGGUGCAAGCGUUAUCCGGAAUCAUUGGGCGUAAAGAGCUCGUAGGCGGUUCAGCAAGUCGGCUGUGAAAUCCCGAGGCUUAACCUCGGAACUGCAGUCGAUACUGCUGUGACUAGAGUCCGGUAGAGGAGAAUGGAAUUCCCGGUGUAGCGGUGAAAUGCGCAGAUAUCGGGAGGAACACCAGUAGCGAAGGCGGUUCUCUGGGCCGGUACUGACGCUGUGGAGCGAAAGCGUGGGGUAGCAAACAGGAUUAGAUACCCUGGUAGUCCACGCCGUAAACGUUGGACACUAGGUGUGGCGUUCCGACCAACGGGUGCCGUGCCGAAGCUAACGCAUUAAGUGUCCCCGCCUGGGGAUACGGCCGCAAGGCUA
rnacentral:rRNA from 1 species